AUUGAACGCUGGCGGCAUGCUUUACACAUGCAAGUCGAACGGCAGCGCGGGCUUCGGCCUGGCGGCGAGUGGCGAACGGGUGAGUAAUGCAUCGGAACGUGCCCAGUAGUGGGGGAUAGCCCGGCGAAAGCCGGAUUAAUACCGCAUACGACCUGAGGGUGAAAGCGGGGGACCGAAAGGCCUCGCGCUAUUGGAGGGGCCGAUGUCGGAUUAGCUAGUUGGUGGGGUAAAGGCUUACCAAGGCGACGAUCCGUAGCUGGUCUGAGAGGACGACCAGCCACACUGGGACUGAGACACGGCCCAGACUCCUACGGGAGGCAGCAGUGGGGAAUUUUGGACAAUGGGGGCAACCCUGAUCCAGCCAUGCCGCGUGCGGGAAGAAGGCCUUCGGGUUGUAAACCGCUUUUGUUCGGGAAGAAAACCUCUGGGCUAAUACCCCGGGGGGAUGACGGUACCGGAAGAAUAAGCACCGGCUAACUACGUG
rnacentral:rRNA from 1 species